AGAAAGGCUGUAGCUCAGUGGUCAAGCAUUUGCUCUCCGUGCAAAAGUUUCCAGGUUCAAUCUCUGGCUUUUCCA